rnacentral:rRNA from 1 species
AGGAUGAACGCUAGCUACAGGCUUAACACAUGCAAGUCGAGGGGCAGCAUGGUCUUAGCUUGCUAAGGCCGAUGGCGACCGGCGCACGGGUGAGUAACACGUAUCCAACCUGCCGUCUACUCUUGGACAGCCUUCUGAAAGGAAGAUUAAUACAAGAUGGCAUCAUGAGUCCACAUGUUCACAUGAUUAAAGGUAUUCCGGUAGACGAUGGGGAUGCGUUCCAUUAGAUAGUAGGCGGGGUAACGGCCCACCUAGUCUUCGAUGGAUAGGGGUUCUGAGAGGAAGGUCCCCCACAUUGGAACUGAGACACGGUCCAAACUCCUACGGGAGGCAGCAGUGAGGAAUAUUGGUCAAUGGGCGAGAGCCUGAACCAGCCAAGUAGCGUGAAGGAUGACUGCCCUAUGGGUUGUAAACUUCUUUUAUAAAGGAAUAAAGUCGGGUAUGCAUACCCGUUUGCAUGUACUUUAUGAAUAAGGAUCGGCUAACUCCGUGCCAGCAGCCGCGGUAAUACGGAGGAUCCGAGCGUUAUCCGGAUUUAUUGGAUUUAAAGGGAGCGUAGAUGGAUGUUUAAGUCAGUUGUGAAAGUUUGCGGCUCAACCGUAAAAUUGCAGUUGAUACUGGAUAUCUUGAGUGCAGUUGAGGCAGGCGGAAUUCGUGGUGUAGCGGUGAAAUGCUUAGAUAUCACGAAGAACUCCGAUUGCGAAGGCAGCCUGCUAAGCUGCAACUGACAUUGAGGCUCGAAAGUGUGGGUAUCAAACAGGAUUAGAUACCCUGGUAGUCCACACGGUAAACGAUGAAUACUCGCUGUUUGCGAUAUACAGCAAGCGGCCAAGCGAAAGCGUUAAGUAUUCCACCUGGGGAGUACGCCGGCAACGGUGAAACUCAAAGGAAUUGACGGGGGCCCGCACAAGCGGAGGAACAUGUGGUUUAAUUCGAUGAUACGCGAGGAACCUUACCCGGGCUUAAAUUGCAGAUGAAUUACGGUGAAAGCCGUAAGCCGCAAGGCAUCUGUGAAGGUGCUGCAUGGUUGUCGUCAGCUCGUGCCGUGAGGUGUCGGCUUAAGUGCCAUAACGAGCGCAACCCUUGUUGUCAGUUACUAACAGGUUCUGCUGAGGACUCUGACAAGACUGCCAUCGUAAGAUGUGAGGAAGGUGGGGAUGACGUCAAAUCAGCACGGCCCUUACGUCCGGGGCUACACACGUGUUACAAUGGGGGGUACAGAGGGCCGCUACCACGCGAGUGGAUGCCAAUCCCAAAAACCUCUCUCAGUUCGGACUGGAGUCUGCAACCCGACUCCACGAAGCUGGAUUCGCUAGUAAUCGCGCAUCAGCCACGGCGCGGUGAAUACGUUCCCGGGCCUUGUACACACCGCCCGUCAAGCCAUGGGAGCCGGGGGUACCUGAAGUGCGUAACCGCGAGGAG